CAGGACACUGCGGGGAAACAAGGGAAGAGACGCAGGGUGAGGAAGGGGCCAUCCAGAUCCGGCAUCAGCUUGCACACGGGCUCCGGGCCCCCGGGGCUGACACAGGCAUGCUGCAGGGGGUUCGCCCCACCCUGGCACCUCCGCAGCCCAGAGGGACCCUUGGUAUCAGGGGAAAGUCCCUGUGCAGCCAGCCCUUGCUGAGACGACAUUUGCAGCUGAAGGUGCUUGUCAGGCGCCGGCAGGCUGGGUGAAAUAUGUGCCGCGAUUAUUUGGGAUCGCAGCGUGGGUUUCAGGUAUGUGCGCCCGGCCCCUCCUCGAGCCGGCGUCCCCCCUCCACGUGCGCGCCGAGGGAAGGGCAGUGUGUGCGAGGCCUGAUGCAGCGCGCGGUAAUACGGUGUGUUGCCAAAGCGCUCCUCGACUCACACCGGUAUUUGGCUUGGAGCCCCUUUCCCCGGGUCUGCUGCAUGCUUGCAAAGCCCUCCGGCUGCGUGGCAUCCUUUGGGCUGGGGUCCCUGGGCAUGGAGCAACCUGGGGGACUUGGGCAGGGCAGGGGUGUACCUGUGCAUGUCACACGCGCACAUGCACACAUGCCUGCUCCUGCUUUCCCUCCAGUUAUAAUAUAAAGCACCAGAGCUGUUUGUAUGCCACGGAUACUACGCAGGUCUCAGCUGAAUCCAAAGCUGUUUUACUUGAAGCUGUUCACAGCUGCAGCACGCACACAUGCACGCACACACACAACAUGCGCACACACAAGCACACGCCCCUCCUGGCUCCCAGCCUCUGCUUUCCCCCGGGGCAGGUGGGGGGUAGCCAGGAAGGGAAGCGACCUCUGGGCCUGAUGCUUUGUCAGCACGUCGGUGCGCGGUCGGGGGCUCCUCUGCAGCCAAAUGCCUAGGGAUGCUCCACGGGAAUGCAAGCCGCGCACUAAUCCGUGCUGCUUGUGUCGUGCCGCCCCCAGCCUCCAGCCAUCACGAGUCCGAAUCACGAGAAGAGCUUAGGAAGCCCUGCUUUCGGAGCCCAGCAAGGUCGUGCAUCCAGGUUUUCCUCGGCCGCCGCCAGGGCUAGCAGCGGUCCGGCUGUGAAACGCAGGCUGGGAAGUUGGCAGAGCUGCGUGGACCGGGGAAGGGAGGCCUUCGGAGCAUCCGCUACUGCGAGACCCACAGGAAAAGCAUGGGAGCUGGCAACGGGGCUGCAACAUGAUAGACUCAUCCAUCACGCUGUGCUCGUGGAGCCAGGAGGAACAAUUGUGUCUGACCUCCCUCCGGCGUCCCUGUCCUAAAUCCGAUAAUUCGCUCUGGACUAAAGCAUCAUGUGGGAUUGGCUCAACCAUCCUCCGGGCUUGCUCUGCAGACCUCGAGACGUGGGCACCCCCGUUCCCCUCCCCUUCCCUUGGCUCAGCCUUCUCCCUCACCCUGAAGAAGCGGGGUUGUACCCGAAAGCUUGCAAAGAGCAAUUUUUCCAACUAUUUAGCUGAUCUAAUAAAAGAAGGGGAGUUAUACCCAAAACCUUGCAAAGAGCAAUUUUUCCAACUAUUUAGUUGGUCUAAUAAAAGAGAUCACAUUUACCCCAAAA